GACGAACGCUGGCGGCGUGCUUAACACAUGCAAGUCGAACGGAAAGGCCCUGCUUUUGUGGGGUGCUCGAGUGGCGAACGGGUGAGUAACACGUGAGUAACCUGCCCUUGACUUUGGGAUAACUUCAGGAAACUGGGGCUAAUACCGGAUAGGAGCUCCUGCUGCAUGGUGGGGGUUGGAAAGUUUCGGCGGUUGGGGAUGGACUCGCGGCUUAUCAGCUUGUUGGUGGGGUAGUGGCUUACCAAGGCUUUGACGGGUAGCCGGCCUGAGAGGGUGACCGGCCACAAUGGGACUGAGAUACGGCCCAGACUGCUACGGGAGGCAGCAGUGGGGAGUAUUGCACAAUGGGCGGAAGCCUGAUGCAGCAGCGCCGCGUGCGGGAUGACGGCCUUCGGGUUGUAAACCGCUUUCGCCUGUGACGAAGCGUGAGUGACGGUAAUGGGUAAAGAAGCACCGGCUAACUACGUG
rnacentral:rRNA from 1 species